rnacentral:rRNA from 1 species
AGCAGCCGCGGUAAUUCCAGCUCCAGUAGCGUAUAUUAAAGUUGUUGCAGUUAAAAAGCUCGUAGUUGAAUUUCGGGAUUAGUAGGUUGGUCAUGCCUCUGGUAUGUACUGGUCUCACUGAUUCCUCCUUCCUGAUGAACCGUAAUGCCAUUAAUUUGGUGUUGCGGGGAAUUUGGACUGUUACUUUGAAAAAAUUAGAGUGUUUAAAGCAAGCUAACGCUUGAAUACAUUAGCAUGGAAUAAUGAAAUAGGACGUUCGAUCCUAUUUUGUUGGUUUCUAGGAUUGACGUAAUGAUUAAUAGGGAUAGUUGGGGGCAUUAGUAUUCAAUUGUCAGAGGUGAAAUUCUUGGAUUUAUUGAAGACUAACUACUGCGAAAGCAUUUGCCAAGGAUGUUUUCAUUAAUCAAGAACGAAAGUUAGGGGAUCGAAGACGAUCAGAUACCGUCGUAGUCUUAACCAUAAACUAUGCCGACUAGGGAUCGGAUGAUGUUAAUUUUUUAAUGACUCA